GGGUCAGUAGGUUGGUCGUGCCACCGGUACGUACUGGUCUUACUGAUUCCUCCUUCCUGAAGAACCGUAAUGCCAUUAAUUUGGUGUUGCGGGGAAACAGGACUGUUACUUUGAAAAAAUUAGAGUGUUUAAAGCAAGCUAACGCUUGAAUACAUUAGCAUGGAAUAAUGGAAUAGGACGAUCGAUCCUAUUUUGUUGGUUUCUAGGAUUGACGUA
rnacentral:rRNA from 1 species